rnacentral:piRNA from 1 species
UGGUGACCUGCAUGCAGUGGUACCUUCA